rfam:TPA: Bos taurus chromosome 5, whole genome shotgun sequence.
GGCCAGUUAGCUCAGUUGUUUAGACCAUGGUGCUGAUAACACCAAGGUUGUGGGUUCAGUCCCCAUAUGGGCCA